rnacentral:rRNA from 1 species
GACGAACGCUGGCGGCGUGCUUAACACAUGCAAGUCGAACGGAAGGGCCCUGCUUUUGUGGGGUUCUCGAUUGGCGAACGGGUGAGUAACACGUGAGUAACCUGCCCUUGUCUUUGGGGUAACCUCAGGAAACUGGGGCUAAUACCGGAGAUGAGAUCCUGAUGCAUGUUGGUGGAUGGUAAGUUUCGGCGGUUGUGGAUGUACUCGCGGGUUAUCAGCUUGUUGGUGGGGUAGUGGAUUACCAAGGCUUUGACGGGUAGCCGGCAUGAGAGGGUGACCGGCCACAUUGGGACUGAGAUACGGACCAGAAUGCUACGGGAGGCAGCAGUGGGGAAUAUUGCACAAUGGGCGGAAGCCUGAUGCAGCAACGCCGCGUGCGGGAUGACGGCCUUCGGGUUGUAAACCGCUUUCGCCUGUGACGAAGCGUGAGUGACGGUAAUGGGUAAAGAAGCACCGGCUAACUACGUG